rnacentral:lncRNA from 1 species
UAGUAUUUAUAAUAGUAUAUUAAAACAGUAUAUUACAUUAAAAAAUAAGGUGUAGUAUUUUACAAUAUAUUAAAACAAUAUAUUACAUUAAAAAUUAAGGUGUAGUAUUUAUAACAGUAUAUUAAAACAGUAUAUUACCUUAAAAAUUAAUGGUUUAAUCAAAAAAUUAACAAUAUUAAUUAUUUAAAUUAAUUAAUAACAUUAAUUAAUAAUAUUAUAGAAGUGUGUGCUGAAAGAUCAACAAACAACAAGGUUUAUAAUAAAAAUGCCUGCAAACCAGAUUGUCUUCUGCAAUACUUUUCAGGAUAAAUUGGUUAAGUUCAGGAUAAGAUCCAACCAUAAAUUCAGACAACUAAACAAUUAAGAGAAAGCAGAAGACAAAUUAUAAACCAGGCACUUGGUACAACAGUCAGUGGAUGGAAGAAGCAACAAGGUUUUGAACGACUAAACAAAUGCAAAACUACUAAGCAGAAAAGACAUCAAACAAAAAAGGAACUAUAAGGAAGCAACAGGCAUUUUCGGCCUGUCAAACAAAAUUUGAACCAUAAGGCAGCAACAUACAUCAAACAAAAAACAAAUAUAGAAACGAAGAACGAGAGGAAUAGAUAAGAUUUACCGAAUGAACUUACCAAGCGAAGGUGCAGGUGCAGGUGGAGGUGGAGAUUGGUAAGGUGGAGGUGGAUUGUUGCCGAAGGUGAACUCGAAUUGAGAAAAAAAGGGAGGAGGGCACGGGCUUAGGGUUAGGGAGAAACAUGAAAUGGGGGAAAUGGGAAAUGGGUUAAUG